UUUGAAUGAACUUUGUUCAAAGAGUGAGUUUUCUCCUCUCUAAAUUCGUACGAGUUUCGAUCUGACUUAUCUAGCGUGCUAGUGGCGUCUAUCGUUCUCUUUUGAACUUAUCACCUUGCUUUGGUGUGGCGUUCAACCCUUUUACAAUUCCGCAAUCCCACCUUGAACCGAAUAGAAAUCGGGGUGACACUUUUUAGUGUUGAAUCGUUUCUGGCGUUUAAGCUCAUUUAUCCAUUCCACCGACUAUCCUAGAUUUUACCCAACUAUAAUAUCUUUUUACAAAACCGAGCCUUCAUUUAUUAACUUCCAUUUUUCUUAUUUUUAUCCUUAAAUCGAGCCUACUACCCUUAUAAAUUUACCAUCACCUUAGCCAACCUUUAAAACCAUUUGAAAGCUUCCGCAUCUUUAGCCUUAUUUCAUCCUAUUUCCGAUAACUCAACUAUUCCUCGUCGACGAUCGGGCAAUCAAGUGAAUCGACUCAAUUAACCCGGGCCAGAUCACAUCAUCUGGUAUCAGAGCUACUAAAACGAGGAAUGUCGACAUUCGUACCAAGCUCGGAGUAGGUUCGUAACGUGAAAAAAAAAUUUUAGGUUGUAAUUUUUUUCUCUUCUUCCUUUGUAUUUCAGCAUAUUGUAAUUGAAAAAAAAAAUCAAAAAAAAAGAGAAGAGGAAAUUUGAAAAAAAAUUCAAAAAAAAAUGCAAAAAAAAAUUUUUGAAGUAUAAAAAAAAAGUGAAAAGUCUUGUGAGUUUUAUUUUGUUUCUUGUUGCUUCCGAGCAUCCAUUCAUUCUACCAUUCCCUCUACCCCCCCAAAAUGCCACACAUACUUUGAUUUUUAUUUUCCUUGUUUAGCCUACCCUACACCCGACGUUAUCCCUUGUAACCCAUUUGAAGCCGACCCUCUAAGCCGCAAUAAGUCUUCUUGAAACAAAAUACGAAUUCACGAGAGUGAGACGAGCGGAAAAAGGCACGAGUGGUGAGUACAUUAGAGCGAGCAAAAGCCAUUAAACAAGUUUAAACAUGAGUGGAGUGUUAUCCAAUUUUCUUUGUGAGUGAAACGUGAGAUUUUUGUGGUGAGGUAUUUAAUUUUUGUUUUGUUUUAAUCAUUUUUUUUAGUAAUUAAAUCAUGUCUCAAGAAGAAUUCUCUACUGAUGAAUUUCAAUACUUGGUGAACGAGAUGGGCCGAAUUUUGGAGGAAAACUAAGCCCAUUAAAAAGACGUUUGAACCGAGUGGAGGAAAAGUCCCAACGGAAACAAAAUCCACCAAGUCGAGAAACGGAGUCGAGAUCAUCACGGCAAUACGCGUCCAAAGACUACUCGCUAAGAGAUUCUUAUCGGGAUUUCUAUUCAAUGAAGAACUCAAGACGAAGCAAAGCAAGUUUUGAGUUUGAAGCUUUUCAAGGUGACGAACGAGGAAUCACAAGUAGUCCUUCAUAUGCACCAAGGUAUUCGUCCGCCAAGAAUCAAUCUCGAAGAGGUGAUCAUUUUUUGUAUGAAAGUCAUUCUAAUUAUACCCAACGAGAGUCAUUUUGUGCUGAUUCUUUUGCAACAUCUCCAUCCUAUAAUGAAAGAGCGAGGCAAAAAGGAAAAGAAAUAAGAAGAAAAGAAAGACAAGAAAUGUUGAUGAGAGAAAAUGAGCAUAUAUGGAAUGAAAUCGAGAGACAAAAAAAAGAAAUGAAAGAAAAGGAACAAGAAAUCAAAAAAGUGAGAGAAAAAGAAAAUGAAGAGAAAGAAUUCAAAAAAGAAAUUGAGAUUGAACAAGAGUGCAAGCGAGAAAAAGAAAUCGAAAGAAAAGAAGAAAAGAUUGAAAAAGAAAAAGAAAUCCAAAAAGAGAGUGAGGUCGAAAAUAAAAUUGAAAAUGAGAGGGGAAAUGAAAAGAGAAAAAAAGAAGUUGAGAUUAGAAAAGAAACGAGAGAAAAAGAGAUAAACGAACCAGAAAAAGUGAGGAGCAUUUCGACUAAUCCAUAUGAAACUUGUUCUUGUUCUGUUUCUUCUUUCCAGGUGCCCGAGAUAUCAAACGAUAAUUUUCAACUUCACUACCUUUCCGAUGAAAGACAUUUUCAUAUGGUCAGUAUAGGUAAGGUUGAAGAUGAAAACGUGCCCCAAGAGUUCAAAGGUAAGAGAGGUGAGGAAAUGUUAACGAUCGAGUCACGACCACCAGGUUUGAAAAUUGUUGAAAUACUUUUUAGUGACUUAAUUUCUAAACGCUCUCCUUAUUUUGGUCUGAUUAAUUGCUACUCCCUGAAUGUGGUUGAUUUUUGUUCCAAUCAACAAACCAAAGAUUUAAUUUUGCGUGAUGACGGUUUUUCACGAAAGGCGAUUAAACUUUUCAUUUGUGACAAUUUUGUGCACCAAUUAACGCUUUGUGGAAAAUCCAUGAAUUUGUGCAAGUAUGAAUUGAUGAAUGUAAAAAGUUUUAAUUGUUUGUUCCUGUGUAUGCAAAAUCCCAUUGGUUUAACGUGUUUGGUUUAAUGAAAUUUUUGCUACAUUUUGGCAUGAAUACUCAAAAUCAAGUUUUUAAACCCGGAAUCUAUUUUGGUUCGUUUUAUGGGAAAGUCAAGAUUCAUCAAUUUUGUGUGAACAAUUUCUAUUGUUUUGAUAAUUGGGUGUUGAAUAAGGAACUGAGGUAUGAAAAAUUUGAUUUCAAUUUAAAUUCAUUCCUUAAUCCAUUUUUGUGGUUGUAUUUGAAGUUUUCGUAUUUCAUUUCGUUAAGGUUAAUUCAGCCACAGAGAUUCGACUAGACUACAUUUCUGAGGAGAGAAGAUUUAUGAUGAUCGACAAAGGUAAAAAUGAUCCUUGCUUUUCCAUCCCUCGAGGUAAACAAGGUAUGACUUACGAUAACUUUAAAAUUUCUCUUCCCUAUUCGGUUGGUAAUAAAAUUUUUGUUGAAGAAUUGGUUGUUGCAAGGAAUUUAAAUUGUGAUGUGUUUAACUGUUCAGCUUUAUUUAAAAAUGAAUCAUCUGUUUUUAUUGAUGUUGAUGAUGCAAUUUUGGAAGAACCAAUCGUUCAAUUUCCAUUGCAAGGUUUUACUGUGCAUUCAUCUGUUUGUGAUAAAAAUUUGUGUUCAAUAAGUUGUGGUGAGGAGUUUAUCUGCUUGAUCGAUGAACGGAUUAAGUUGAAUGUGUCCACAUGUCUCUUGAAAGUUUUUGGUAAGAUUCUCCUUGAUGACAAGUUUGUUGAAAAGGUGAAAGAUCAAUGGCCACUGUUAAGCUUAACUAUGCAAGAUUUAAGCCGAUUAAGUGGUAAAAUCAUAACUUGCAAAAAGCUUUGUUCAAUCGAUUGUGGGUAUGAAAUUUGGAAAAUACCUUCUUGCAAGGAUUAUGAAUGUUCUACCCAAAUGGUACUUGGGCCACAUAUUUGCUCAAAUGAAUUCUUGAUGAUUUGUGAUUACUCAUUUAAAAUAAUUCCUUCGUUUGAUGAGACUUUGUAUGGUGAAGAUGUAACAAAACAGUUUGGUGGUUUAUUUUAUUUGUGUUCGAUUCCAUUUGAUCGAGGAAAGAUGAGUAAGCGGAGCUAUGAUCGAGUGAACCAACGGCUCGACUUGAGGACAAGUAGUUCUAAAGAAGGGGGGAAUGAUACGACCCUGGCCAAGGAUGCCCUUGAUUUCAGCUUGAAUUCAGCUCCUCAAGCUCCAUUUAGCUUGGUUCAGCUCACUGAAUUUUAUUUUAGCUCACAUGAGCUUAAUUCAGCUCGUUUGAGCUUGGUUUAAAUUCAAUUCAGCUCAUUAUUAGCUCUUUAGCUAAAUUAAUUUUAUUUGCUGGAAUAAAUUAAUUAUUUAAGUUAAUUAGUUAAUUUAGUUACAGCUCUUAAUUACUUGUCAGCUUAUUACAUGUUAUAAUUAUGUUGUGUUAGCCGAAUUUAAUUAGGUGGCUGGAUUAUAUUUAAUUUGUCUUAAUACCAUUUAGUUCAGCCGAAUAUACAUUUGCACUUAAUUUAGUUCAUGUUUUUUUUCUUGUAGGAUGGCUGAAUGCAUGAAGGAGCAUUAAAGUCCAAGUGCAUGAAUGGUUCAAUACAACGUAUGGGAGUAUACAUGAAUGGCUGAAUACAUGAAUGGUUGGAUUCAUGGAUAUGGCUCAUUUUAUGAUAAUUCAAGGUGUUAAUUCAGCCUAGAAGAGCAACUAAAUUCAUUCUCCAAAAGCUGGCCGAUGCACUUCCCAAAACAGCACCUAUGCGUUCACAUUUGGAGUUCACACCAAGGACCAUUUGGCUGAUCAUUGUUCACACUUCCAAAGACUUUUCCAACUCCUUUUUCACACCUUCAAGGCUGUUCACAUUCACCUUUAAUGCUGGUCUCUUUUCAGCCAAGAAUUACAUUUUAAUGAGCUCAUUUAAGCUCAAUUGGCUGAACCUAGCUGCUGCCAUUUCUCCAAGUGCAUUUGCUCUUCUAGAAAUCGUCCCUUGAGCUUCAAAUUCAGCUGAAUUUAGCUCCAGCAAUUUAGUUUUUUAUUUCCAAAAUUUUCUAGCAUUUUUCUAGCCUAAUUAAUUACUUAGACAUUAAGUCUUUGUUUUGGCCAUUCGGCUACCUAGCUGAACACUAUAAAUAGUUGUUCAUUUUCAUUGUAAAAGGACUUUUGACUUUUGAUCAUUUGAAUGAACUUUGUUCAAAGAGUGAGUUUUCUCCUCUCUAAAUUCGUACGAGUUUCGAUCUGACUUAUCUAGCGUGCUAGUGGCGUCUAUCGUUCUCUUUUGAACUUAUCACCUUGCUUUGGUGUGGCGUUCAACCCUUCUACAAUUCCGCAAUCCCACCUUGAACCGAAUAGAAAUCGGGGUGACACUUUUUAGUGUUGAAUCAUUUCUGGCGUUUAAGCUCAUUUAUCCAUUCCACCGACUAUCCUAGAUUUUACCCAACUAUAAUAUCUUUUUACAAAACCGAGC
rnacentral:lncRNA from 1 species